UUAGAUACCCCGGUAGUCCUGGCCGUAAACGAUGGGUACUAGGUGUAGGAGGUAUCGACCCCUUCUGUGCCGGAGUUAACGCAAUAAGUACCCCGCCUGGGGAGUACGACCGCAAGGUUGAAACUCAAAGGAAUUGACGGGGGCCCGCACAAGCGGUGGAGUAUGUGGUUUAAUUCGACGCAACGCGAAGAACCUUACCAGGUCUUGACAUUGAUGGACAGAACCAGAGAUGGUUCCUCUUCUUCGGAAGCCAGAAAACAGGUGGUGCACGGUUGUCGUCAGCUCGUGUCGUGAGAUGUUGGGUUAAGUCCCGCAACGAGCGCAACCCCUAUCUUAUGUUGCCAGCACGUAAUGGUGGGAACUCAUGAGAGACUGCCGCAGACAAUGCGGAGGAAGGCGGGGAUGACGUCAAAUCAUCAUGCCCCUUAUGACCUGGGCUACACACGUACUACAAUGGGAGUUAAUAGACGGAAGCGAGAUCGCGAGAUGGAGCAAACCCGAGAAACACUCUCUCAGUUCGGAUCGUAGGCUGCAACUCGCCUACGUGAAGUCGGAAUCGCUAGUAAUCGCAGGUCAGCAUACUGCGGUGAAUACGUUCCCGGGCCUUGUACACACCGCCCGUCACACCACGAAAGUCGGAAGUGCCCAAAGCCGGUGG
rnacentral:rRNA from 1 species